rnacentral:sRNA from 1 species
AUUGCGGGGGCGUCCCAGUUCCCUCAAAACGCUCCGUUCAUCAUCCCUUUCUAAGUUCUCCCUCGGCCUUCCUUUUGAGCUAUGGUCUUUUUCCCAGACAGGAAGAGAAGAGCUGCCCCUGCCUCCGGAGCCGAAGGAGAACGCCGCAAUAGCGAUGACGGCCCUCGACGCAGUGGGGCGGCCUCAACCUAACCCGGGGCGGGGCCUCGGGGGCGGGAUCUCGGAGGGGCGGUCGCUUUGGAGCCGCAAAGUUUGGCUGUGGCGGCAAAUGGGCUUGGGCGGCUCCUCGGCGGGUGGCGGUGGUGGCCGUAGCGGUUCCUCCUGGCCCUGUUAAUGUCGGGGCCAGGCCCGGGGAGGAUGGCGCCCUAGAACCCGGCCUUGCUGGGGUAGGGGCGGGAGGGGACGGGGUGGGGACCGGCCAUGUCGGAGGUGACCCGGAGUCUGCUGCAGCGCUGGGGCGCCAGUUUUAGGAGAGGCGCCGACUUCGACUCUUGGGGCCAGCUGGUGGAGGCGAUAGACGAGUAUCAGAUGUGAGUGACUAACCGCGGGAGCGGGCCAGACCGGCUCCAGGCGUGCGCCUCUCCCUUGUUUCUGUCGGUGUCUCUCAUCACUGUAUCUGCAGCCAAGGCUUCUCAGGGUGGGGCUCGGCAGGCACUGGGGCUGAGAUCCCUCGCCACCAGCCCCAGCGAGGCUGCUCUGGGGACAACGGCUCCGCUCUCUGGGGUGACUCGCCUUCUUCCCCCUCCGCCUCCGCAGGGACAGUUCCAUUCAACAGGUAGCCCUUCUUUCCUGGGGCGCAGGCCCUAGCAGGCUAUCUACUUAGUUCCUUUCCACCGUCUCGCGGGUCCCCCACUUGGCAGUCAGUUUCCUUUCCUCCUCCUCUCGCAGGUUGCCUUUCCUCGAUUUCCCUUUGAAAUUCUCUGAGGAAUACUUGUGUGUUCUCCGCCCACGUUCCAAGGAUGAGUGGCCUUGCUCUGUGUGUGUCUUCCAUGUGUAGGAAAGGAGGGAACUGUUUGCGAUUGAGGGGAGGGGGGGUGCCCAGGAAGCAGCGAGGGCUAGGGAUACCUCUUCUGCCAAAAGAAGGGUCUCCUCUCGCUCUCCUUCUCCACCCCUCUUUCUGGUGAGCCGUGUUUUCAGAAUUCCACCUCGAUUUCGUUUCGGUUUCUGGGACUGUUAUUUGGUAGGCUGUGAGUCCCACCCACCCCCUCGCUCGGUUGCCUUGGGUGGAGUCCGCGCAGGAUGUGAACAGAAGAGAGCAAAAUGUGAAUUAAUGGACCACGCACAGGAGCACCACUCCCUCUUUGGAUCCCUCCUCCUUUUCCUGUAUAUAAUGUAUAGCCGCAGGGUACAAAUUAGCAAGACAUCUACAAAAGGAGGCCCAAGCUCAACACAAUAAUUCUGAAUUCACAGAAGAACAAAAGAAAACCAUAGGCAAAAUUGCAACAUGCUUGGAAUUGCGAAGUGCAGCUUUACAGUCCACACAGUCUCAAGAAGAAUUUAAACUGGAGGACCUGAAGAAGCUAGAACCAAUCCUAAAGAAUAUUCUUACAUAUAAUAAAGAAUUCCCAUUUGAUGUUCAGCCUGUCCCAUUAAGAAGAAUUUUGGCACCUGGUGAAGAAGAGAAUUUGGAAUUUGAAGAAGAUGAAGAAGAAGGUGGUGCUGGAGCAGGGUCUCCUGAUUCUUUUCCUGCUAGAGUUCCCGGUACUUUAUUACCAAGGUUGCCAUCGGAACCAGGAAUGACAUUACUCACUAUCAGAAUUGAGAAAAUUGGUUUGAAAGAUGCUGGGCAGUGCAUCGAUCCCUAUAUUACAGUUAGUGUAAAGGAUCUGAAUGGCAUAGACUUAACUCCUGUGCAAGAUACUCCUGUGGCUUCAAGAAAAGAAGAUACAUAUGUUCAUUUUAAUGUGGACAUUGAGCUCCAGAAACAUGUUGAAAAAUUAACCAAAGGUGCAGCUAUCUUCUUUGAAUUCAAACACUACAAGCCUAAAAAAAGGUUUACCAGCACCAAGUGUUUUGCUUUCAUGGAGAUGGAUGAAAUUAAACCUGGGCCAAUUGUAAUAGAACUAUACAAGAAACCAACUGACUUUAAAAGAAAGAAAUUGCAAUUAUUGACCAAGAAACCACUUUAUCUUCAUCUACAUCAAACUUUGCACAAGGAAUGAUCCUGACAUGAUGAACCUGGAACUUCUGUGAAUUUUACCACUCAGUAGAAACCAUCAUAGCUCUGUGUAGCAUAUUCACCCUUCAACAGGCAGGAAGCAAGCCGUACCCAGACCAGUAGGCCGGAGGGAGUCCAAUGCAAAGCUGUACCACAGAAUUCAAAGUCCAGCACAUCACUGACGUAUAGGACUCCUUGGGAUACAGGUUUAUUGUAGAUUUUGAAACAUGUUUUUACUUUUCUAUUAAUUGUGCAAUUAAUAGUCUAUUUUCUAAUUUACCACUCCUCCUACGCUGCUUCCUGGAACAAUACUGUUGUGGGUAGGAUGUGCUCAUCUUCAGACUUAAUACAGCAAUAAGAAUGUGCUAGAGUUUACACAUCUGUUCACUUUUGCUCCAAUAUGCUCUUUUGACUUAACGUCAAGCUUUGGGUUGAUGUGGGUAGGGUAGUGUCAAACUGCUUUGAGAGGAAUUGGACCAGUUCUGCUGCCUAAGAAGGUCUGUCUGGAUGUUUAUAGGCAGCACCUCUGAAGUGGCCUAAAUUCACCCUGAUCUGAUAGUUUUCCUGCUUAGUGUGCCUUGGCCAGAUCAGUAUCCCACAUGGGAGUGUUCCCUAGGUUGUAGCUGUGAUUGUUUCCAGAUGACCAGAUUGUUUUUCUGAAAAUGAGCAUAUUUUUAGUCAUGUCGAUUAGCUGUUCUUCUACAUCACAUUGUUACUCUUUCUGAUGAUGAUUCUAGGGUUAACAUUGGAACCAUCUCAAAAUAAUUACAAAUUUUUAGAUGGGUUUACAAUGUCCUCUAAACAAUGUAAUCUAAAAAUAAUUGAGUCAGAUGCUAACGAGAUACUGCAGGCAUAACUGCUGUUUUUCUGACAACUGAUUGUGAAACCUUAAAACCUGCAUACCUCUUCUUACAGUGAGGAGUAUGCAAAAUCUGGAAAGAUAUUCUAUUUUUUUUAUAUAGGUAGAUAGGAUCGCCAUUUAUUUCCUAUUUAGAUAUACUGACAUUCAUCCAUAUGAAAAUAUGCAGGUCAUUAGCUUACUAUAAUGUGACUAUUUACUUUUGACUUAAUAGGGCAUAAAUAAAACUUUCAUAGUACACAUGAGGUGGAUAUUUGAUACACAGAACAUUUGUGGUGGGCUUUCUGUGGGUUAGAUGUAAAGCCCACAUUUUAAUAUUCACUAUUUUAAAUGAGCAAUGCAUGAGGGGAAUGCAGUGUCAGUACCUGGCCUAUUUUUAAACUAGUGUAAUCACCCUAGUCAUACCAUUCAGUAUGUUUGCUUUUUAAAAUAACCACAAUUAAGUUGUUUUAGCCCUUGCACUUCAAGAGAUCUAGUCUUUACUUUCAGUUGUCUGUUAGGUCCAUUCUGUUUACCAGACGGAUGUUAAUAAAAACUAUGCGAGCCUGAAUGAAUUCUCAGCCAAAUUUAGUCUUGUCUCUCAUCUUGAUUGGAUUAAUUCCAAAUUCUAAAAUGAUUCAGUCCGCAAUAGCUCUAGGGGAUGAAGAAUUUGCCUUACUUUGUUGUUCACUCAGUUCCUAAGACUGUGAGUUGUCAAAUCCCUAGACUGUAAGCUCUUCAAGGAGCAAGAAGUGCAUUUUCUCCGUGUCAUGUAAUUUUUCUAAGGUGCUUGGCAGCACUCUGUACCCUGUGGAGUACUCAGUACCUUUUGUUUGAUGUUGCUGACAAGACCUAAAAAAAAAUCCCUUAAAAAAAAAACCCAUUAAAAUGUAGCAAAACCGAUGUAUUAUUUUUUCUCUUUUCUCAUAAACCAUAAGAUAUGUAUAUCAAAGUGAUAAUUUAUAUGAAGCAUCUGCUAUCCUUCACAUAAGUGUGGUUUAUAUGAACUACAAAUACCUUUCAUCAACAUUAAAGAAGCUUAAAUUGAA